GAUGAAGAACGAAGUGAAAUGCGAUAAGUAAUGUGAAUUGCAGAAUUCAGUGAAUCAUCGAAUCUUUGAACGCACAUUGCGCCCGCCAGUAUUCUGGCGGGCAUGCCUGUUCGAGCGUCAUUACAACCCUCAGGCCCCCGGGCCUGGCGUUGGGGAUCGGCGGAAGCCCCCUGCGGGCACAACGCCGUCCCCCAAAUACAGUGGCGGUCCCGCCGCAGCUUCCAUUGCGUAGUAGCUAACACCUCGCAACUGGAGAGCGGCGCGGCCACGCCGUAAAACACCCAACUUCUGAAUGUUGACCUCGAAUCAGGUAGGAAUACCCGCUGAACUUAAGCAUAUCAAUAAGCGGAGGA
rnacentral:misc_RNA from 1 species